CUGGAUGUUCUGAGGAUGGGGAACCUCCCGUAUGAGCAGAUGGUUAAACAAUCUACCCUGGAGCUGUACUUGCAGCCAGAAGAGAACUUUAUUCUCAAACUGUACAACUGAUUGCAGAAUCCACUUUGCUAAAGCAGUGGCAGAAUUGUGAUAACUGUUCUGUAUCCUUGGGUUUUCACAGUCCUGCAGGACUGUGUGGCUGUCUGUCAGAAUAGGAUUUGUUCUCACUUGCUGAGGGAAUAAGAAUGAGGAGGAGAAAAAAAAUCUUGUGAACAACUGUCUCUGUGAUAAGAGCUAUAACAGGAGAGGGGAGGUGCUCACUGUGUGUCCCUUCUGCGUGGGAGGAUGUCAGCUGGAGGAGCAGCCGGCAGUGUGUCACUCUGUGUUUGUCGGUGGAAUUGCAGGGAAUGGAGAGGGUUCUGCAAGUUCUUCAUCACAUGUAUAUGAACACAAAAGAAAUGCCCAUUUGGAAUUAAUUUAGUGCAGAAGUUCUGACAGCUGAUGAACUGUGUGGUUUUGUACACCAGGAAACCUGAGAAUGGAAAGAUGGCAAGAAACACAUGUGUUCUUGCUAGGAUGUCAUUCUCCAUCCAAAAUGGACAAUACCAGAAUUCAGAGAACAUGUAAGAGAUAGAAUUCUUUAAUUUUUCUGAGGUUUUGAUGCAACUGGACAUGGGUGCAGAGCACUGGUGGUUUGGAAAGGCUGGAGGGCAGGGCAGGAUGCUAGUAGACAGAAAGUAUUAGCCUGCACAAUUUUGAUCCAGCUGUCUUGAAGGGCCUCUUAUUUUCUCCUCAGACCCAUGGUACCUCCCUUAUAUCUCCCAUAUCAUGAAGACUAAUGACCAACUCUCCUGUAAUCAAAAAAAUAAGUCACAAUUACAUAAAAUGCAGUCAUUUUGCUGUAUUGAGUGUUCACUGAUUUUUUUUGUUAUUUUAAAUAACCACCUAAUAAACACACAAAG